UGGCUACAUCAUGUUGAAACACUGGUUCCUGAAUGAUCACCAAAGUUAAGCAACUUCAAGCCUGGUCAGUACCUCGAUGGGUGACUGCUUGGGAAUACCAGGUGCUGUAAG